AGAGGGUGCGAGCGUUAAUCGGAUUUACUGGGCGUAAAGCGUGCGUAGGCGGCUUUUUAAGUCGGAUGUGAAAUCCCCGAGCUUAACUUGGGAAUUGCAUUCGAUACUGGGAAGCUAGAGUAUGGGAGAGGAUGGUAGAAUUCCAGGUGUAGCGGUGAAAUGCGUAGAGAUCUGGAGGAAUACCGAUGGCGAAGGCAGCCAUCUGGCCUAAUACUGACGCUGAGGUACGAAAGCAUGGGGAGCAAACAGGAUUAGAUACCCUGGUAGUCCAUGCCGUAAACGAUGUCUACUAGCCGUUGGGGCCUUUGAGGCUUUAGUGGCGCAGCCAACGCGAUAAGUAGACCGCCUGGGGAGUACGGUCGCAAGACUA
rnacentral:rRNA from 1 species